CAGUAGCCCGGGAAUACAGAGGGUGCAAGCGUUAAUCGGAAUUACUGGGCGUAAAGCGCGCGUAGGUGGUUUGUUAAGUUGGAUGUGAAAUCCCCGGGCUCAACCUGGGAACUGCAUCCAAAACUGGCAAGCUAGAGUAUGGUAGAGGGUGGUGGAAUUUCCUGUGUAGCGGUGAAAUGCGUAGAUAUAGGAAGGAACACCAGUGGCGAAGGCGACCACCUGGACUGAUACUGACACUGAGGUGCGAAAGCGUGGGGAGCAAACAGGAUUAGAUACCCCCGUAGUCCCUGUCUCUUAUACA
rnacentral:rRNA from 1 species